UAAAUUGCAAAUUGCUCUGACUCUGAACACUUAGAAAUUAGUGAUAAGAAUAACAGCAACCUAUGCGAAGACACUGGAAAGCUGUUGAACUCUCCAGAAGCGCCAGGAUCCAAGGAGAAGGGAAGCUCGAAGAGAUGCCACUUCACAUGUGCUGUCACAACUUGUGGCUGGAGAAAUCAGCACAGCCUAUGUGGCUCCCCCGGGAGAGAACUUGGAGGCUUGGGCCUUGUUUCCCCAGACUUCACUUCAUGCGCCCUGCCCUUGGGCUUUGUGUCGUCCCACAGGAAUCAGUCUGAACUAUGGUGAGCCCAGGAUCAGACCAAAAUGAAGAUUUUGCAAAGGAAUUCAACUUUGACCACAGCAUUUUUACUAUCAUCAAACAAAUAAAUAAAUAAAAAGCUCCCUUCAUAA